CAAAAGCAGCCCUGUGGCACAACAUGCAGGCUGGUGUGACAGGCAGAACUGACUUUUGUCCUUGUUAAACUUUUGUUGAUACUUUAUCUUAUACAACACACAGUAAAUAUUCUUUUCCAUCCAAGAAAGUCAGGGACCCAUGGGCGGUGUGACAUUCCUCUACAUUUACAUCAUAUGGCUGAUCACUUCUGUUGAUGCUCAGGUCAUAUCUGCCCGAGUGGGUUCCACAGCUGUCCUGCCCUGUGAACUGAGUAACACAUCCAAGCCGACAGUGUAUAUUCAAUGGCGCACUGAUUUUGCUGUUGUGUUUGAAAGAACGAGAAGGAAUUUAUACCAGGGUGAAAGAUAUACAGGCCGUGUGUACGUUCCUGAGAAGCAGCUGCUGAAAGGGAACUGUUCUCUGGUGCUGAAGAACGUGUGGUUUGAUGAUGCUGGAGUUUACUACAGCUACCUGUUCGUGAAACGCAGAAAGAGAUCUGUCACUCAUUUCAUCCAGAGAGUCGAACUCGAAGUUUAUGGUAAGUUUUUUUUAAUAGUACACUCUAAAAUAGCUUGCUUAAGAAUAAUUCAUUUUGGUGAAUUUGGAAACCUAGCAUGAGCUGUUUUAACUCAGCGAGGUUGGGUGAGGAGGUUGACCAGCAUGCUGGAGUGAUUUAACCCAACUUUCACUCGAGCUGUUAUGGUUACAAUGUGUAGGUUACAUCACGGGUUUUUUAAAUCAACAUAAAUGAGUGUGAAAGCAGCCUUACUCGACUAAAACAGUGCAACCUGUGAUUUACAGCUGCACUACAGUCAGAGCUGCUGUUAUAGUAAAUUAAUCAACACCUUCUGACCAAUCAUAAUCCAGAAUUCAACAGCGCUGUGAUAUAAAAUAAGAUACACUUCUUCAAUUAAGAUAUUAAUAUGUAUUUUAUUGUGCUUGUCAAAUCUUAGAGGAAUUUUCAGUAAGUCCAUUUUGCACUGUCUUCUUGAUAUGAUAAAAUAAUGAGAUGGACAAGUCCUUAACCAAUAGGAAGUCAGUGAGAGGAAGUGGGCGGAGUUAAAAACAAUACAGAACAGAGCAGGACUGGGAUGAGGAAACACUGGAAUGCAAUUUUUUUGUGUUCUUGGCCUAAACAUGUUUCUGAUCUAGAGCUACAUUUUAGAUUAAUUGUUGGAAAAAGUUCCUAAAAAAUUAACUUCUUUCUUUUUCUUGUUUGUUUCCU